rnacentral:ribozyme from 2 species
ACUAUAAUCUUGCCAUCGUCAGUUCCAAGCCUGAGUGAGAAAAAGAGAGGAUAGU